CCUACUUUACCGCCUCUAUAUAACUAUUCUACAUAACUAUUUUUUUCUUUUUUAGAGAAAAGUCUUUAAUUAGUUGUUGCUAUUCUAUUAACUCAUACAUUAUUCUUCAAUCAACCUUCUAAUUCACAAAUUAAUAUCGAAAGCAAUGUUAUCAUCAUUUAUUCAUAUGCAUGAUAACAUUCUAUUAUUUUUUGAAAAAAACAAAUAGAAAUGAGAAUCAAGACCUUCACCAACGAGUAUUUCACCAUUUUUUCAUUUUGUUUUUAAUAAAAGUCAGCCACUAAUUGUUAAUGAUUUAUUGGCUCUCAAAAGUUGCAAAAGCAGCUCAAACGUAUUUGCAUGGAUUUUAUGCCCCAGCUUCUAUCAUAAU
rnacentral:lncRNA from 1 species